GAUGCGAGCAAUGUGAUUCAUUCCUUUAUUUCUGUAACUCUCUGAUAAAUGGCAUUUAUUUGCCACCUCUGACCUCCUCAUGUGCAUGUGCCCAUUAAUCCUUCUCAGCUCGGGCUGCUACUGCCAUCCCAGGCUGUUCAGUAGCCAUCAAACAGCUGCUCCUCAUUUUAUUUCCUUCAUUUAAAAGCACUCUCUCUGCUACAAAAAUGUGGGUCAAGGGGGAAAAAAGAUGGGAGAUUUCACUAUGAUGAUGGAGGGGGCAGUGUAUUUUGUGUACAUGGUAUUCAGUUCUGUAGACUCUUUGUCCUAUAGGGAAACCUCAAGGUACUUCUGAAGAAAUAAUGAUCAGAUGUGAUGUGUUUGGAGUAUUUAACCCUAAGUGACUGACAGCUGCAAGGUAAGGCACCCUGGCCAUGCUUCAAUAACCAAGGCAUGACCAGCUUGAAAUCAGAUGUUGCCACUGGUGUCGCUGAGGACUAGCCUGUGUCAUGGGAUUACUGGAAGAGUGCUGGAACUGUCUGCCCGGGGAGGUGGUGGAGUCACCAUCACUGGGUGUGUUUAAAAAAAGCCUGGAUGUGGCACUCCGUGCCAUGGUUUAGUUGAGGUGCUAGGGACAGACUUGAUAAUCUUGAAGGUCUCUUCCAACCUAGUGAUUCUGUGAUUCUGUGUGUGAUUUUUCUUUUCCACUUUUAUUUUUGGGGUUUAUUUUAAUUUUUAUUUUCCUACCUUCUGCUCUGAGUCAGGGCUACAGGGUUCAUGACCUAGGGCUUUCCCUUAAACACGUUAUGGCCAAACACUCCUGAGGCUGGCAGGAUGAAGUCUGUAAAGAGACCUUGAGUAUAUGAAACCUUCUUGCUUUUCCCCAUCACUACCCAAACCCAGCAGUAAAACUUGUCUUGAGCUGGGAUGUAAAUGAAAAAUAUCUGACUGCUUGCAAGAGUAGAGAGGUUCUUUUGCUCUGUUGGAAGUGGAGAUGCAUUGCUCAGUGGCUGGUGGGAUCCCUCACAUUCCCAGUGGCAGCACAGACCCCAGUCUGAGAGAAGACUGGGGAAGUUUUUCUCCUGUUUCAUCAUUUAAUCAUCUUUGCCAAGAAUAAUCUUUCCUUUACAUAUAAUAUCUUACUUUUUGCAUAUCUUCCAUGCCAUCCUACAUCCACCACUUGGGAUUUCCCGUAAUCCAGGCAGAAGGAAACUUGGCCAAUCUGUUAAGCCUUGCCUGUGUUCUCCCUACAGCACAAAGAUGCUUUCUGGGUGUGGGACAGGCUGGAUUCCCUGGAGGAGCUGAAAUACCUCUUCUAAUACCUGAUUCCCACUGAGCUAUGAAUCGUUUUCCUCUGACUUUCUGGGGAAGUGCCCUAGGAUCUGCCAAGGUGGACAUUAGCAGAGGAAGCCAGUGAUGGGCAGAGACCUACCAGAUUUGAGCAAUGCACUCAAAUACCUUGAGAAGAGCUUCAUCAAACAUGGCACAGAGACAGCCUGCAGUAGCAGAUAAGUAUAAAUACAUGUCAACUAUGUAAUAUGUAUUCAAAUACUAGGAUAAUGUAUAAAACUUCUGUUCUCCAGGUAUUGACUCCUUAUUUCAUUCAUUUCACAUUCAACCUCUUUCCUCCUGUACAUAGGAUCCCAAAAUCAUUAAGGCUGGAAAAGACCUGUAAGAUCAUCGAGUCCCCCCCAUUAACCCAUCACCAGUGUGUUAAUUAAGCCAUGUCUCCAAGUACCACAUCCCAUAGUUUUUGAACACUUCCAGGGAUGGUGACUCCACCACUUUCCAGUGCUUGACCACCCUUUCAAUGAGAAAUGUUUCCUACUAUCCAAUCUAAACCUCUUCCUGGUGCAACUUAAGGCCAUUUUCUCUUGUCCUUUCACUUAUUAACUGAGAGAAGACACCAAAUGCAUUGCACAACUCAAAAUGAAGUCAGCCAAGAUUUUCAGGUUUUCUACCUCUUAUCACCACCCUGCAGCUGUUAUCCAGCUGCAGGGUGGUGAUAAGAGGUAGAAAACCUGAAAAUCCCAUUCCCACGUGACCAGCAGUUUGCUCAGCUCAGCACACCUGCAGCAGCUUCAGUGACCAACACAUGGAUUGAACAGUUAUGCACACUGUGAACCCAGUAUGUGUAUGACAGUAAUACAUCCCAGGCAGAAGAACUCUCUUGGAAAGGCUCUCCAAAUCAUUAUUUCACUCAGCUUGAUUAAGAAGAUGAGUUGUCAGCACUGAGCUCCUUCAACAGAGCUCCCAAGGCUGACCAAGGUGCAGGCACAUUUCAGGGUGCUGUGAAGUGCCUAGGAAGACCUCUGGGAAACUCAGUUAAUUUGAAGUGCACUUGUGCUGCUCUGUAGGUCCUGUAUAGGGGAAAUCAAAGCCCAGACAGCACAGCACACACAUGCAAGGCAAAGAUGCUCCUCUGUGAGAGAGCUGGCUUCUCCUUUCCACACCUGCAGGCACAAGGAGAGCUAAGCUGGCCCCUGGUGUGCUCCUGGAGUGACCAUUGCAUCUUCAGACGAUGAGACCUGUUUGGGUCUUGGGAGUUUGGGACAAGGCAAUGUACCAGGUACCCAGUGCUGCCCCAUGCCCUGUCACAUCUGUCCUGGAGGUGUGGGCAGCACUGAGCCUUUGCCACAGCAGUCUGUCCUUGAGGAAGCAGAGGGAGCAUUGCCUCCUCCUGAAGGGAACUGAGGAGUGGGAAGAAAGGAGGUGAAUGGCAUUCCUGAAACGUGGGAAAAGAAACAUUUUAUCAUGGUUGUCAUGGAAACUGGGAAUGGACAAUAAGCACUUAGAUGUUUUAUCAUGUCCCUUAGCACUUGUAGCAUGCAACCUGUGUGAAAAGAAGCAUUAUCCUUUAUAGGGAAGCUGAGAGGUACCUGAAUGGGGAAAAAAAAAAAACCAAAACCUGAGAGAAUCUCUGCCACGGCAUCCCAGCAGAGGGGCUACAGAGACAGCAGGGAGAUGGCACUUCCUGAGGUGCUGCCAAAGAAUGGGAAUGAGGUACUGUGGAAGGAUGGGCAGCACAGAGUCAAACACGUGGGGACACAGGAUUUGGCAUGGAGAAUCCCAUGGAACUCCAGAGUACAUGCCACCCUUGGGCUCUCAUUACUGCCAGCCUCACUUUGGCACCUUUCUGUGAUCCUACAUCUUCUUAGUCCAAGCAGGCAUCUCACUCGCAGCUGUUCUGUUUGUGUGCUUCUCACUGCACUAUUUGAGGUUUUAUUCAACACAUCAUGUAUUACUUUCAUCACUCAAAUUAACUUUGGUGCAUUUGACUGGAAAAGGUCACAUAGCUCCAGCUCAACCCCUAAAUGACAGAUCAUGCCCACACACUAUCAAUACUCCAAAGAGCAAGACAUUUCCCUGGUUACAAUGCAUUCGUAGGCCAAAAAUCCCUCUCUGUCCUCAGCACACCAAACAUCCAGUAUGUUGUGGUCAUGAUUAUUUUGGUCAUUUUUCUUUCCCCAUCUGCCUAAAACAUUAAAUUUCUUCCUCCUGCUCCCACUCACAUUCCUCCUCCAACAUUUCCUUCAGGAAAUCUUCUUAUGGAUGUGCAAAAAAACUGCAGGCACUUAUCACAUGAAACACAUCAUGAUGAGAAACACCCACCCUUCUCAUGAAGUACCACCUCCCUCCUAUCCAUCUUCCUGAAGUACAUGCCAGUGAUCAUCUGCAACCACUCUGCACAAAGCUAAAUAAUUCUUCCUUCAUGCUGAAACCACCAACAAAUAGCCUCCUUGGCAAGGGAAACAGAGCAUACACUGAUUCCAGAUGCCCAGAACAAGAAGAGUUAUAAUGUUCAUAUCUCUAGGAGCAAAUAGUCCCUCUCCAUACCAGCACCUAGACCUGUUUUUUGCAAUGACACACCAUCACAGAUCUUUCCACUUCCCAUUAUUGUCAGUGAAUAUUUUAUAGUGAUCAGUCAGCCUCUGAAAAUCCACGGAAAGUACCUGGUCCUGCUGGAAAAGACCAGGUACGUGUGUCUGUCAUUUACAACCCUUAAAGCCAGCUCCAACUCUUGCACAUUUCCAGGCUUUUGACAUGACAGAGCAGAAAUCUCCCCAUUUCAUAUCCCUGUGACAUUUGUGUAGCUGAUCUCCCAAGCCUGUCUGGUGAGUUCCUGAUCAGCAGUAAGAUGCCAGAGGUAAUGGAUGGACACAUUCACACUCCUCUCCUGUAGCUCUGGGCUCUGCUCACUGAUCUAAUUGGUCUUUGUCAUCCAAAAGCUUUGCCACUGGCAGUGACCAUCAGUUCUGAACCACUACCUGUUCUCACCAGUUGUUGCUGCCUAAGUGAACCCCAAAACAAAAAUUUCAUCAAGCAAAACAGCUUCAUGUAACUUCUCCACAAAAUUCUAUCUCAUCUUCCUCUGGGAUCAUUUCCUGCAGUGUAUCACCUCAGUAUCCAGUGUCUUUGGAAACCUCAGAUGUAAAUUCUUCUGCCUGCCCAAAUACAAAUGCAUGUGCAUAAUUCUGUCCAUAUUAAUGAAUCUCAUAAUCAUAGCACUUAGCAGCAUGUCCUCCAUCUGCCAAACAGUAAUUUGAAAAUUGUGCCAGGAACAUUAAUGGGUGUCAGGAAAGGAUGUGAAUCACGGGAGCUCGGCGGUUUAAUACGCUUACGCCUCCAGACCAGUAUUCCUGUAGUUUUGGAAAGGCAUCCCACAAAUUACUGCCAGGAGUACAGAAUAGAGGAAGGGACCACUGAACCUCAGGAUAUCUCCCAAGUCCUGACAAAAUAGCAUAUGCAUAAGGGUUGUCAAGAGAAGCACAUUAGAUUGUGAUAAAUAAGCAGGGUGCACCAGGGAGGUUGAGGUAGAGUGUACAAUGUACAUAUUUAUGUACUGAAAAAUGCCAUCCUUGUAUAGACAUGGCCAAAGAUCUAAAAUAGUUAAUGUCUUUUCUAUAGAUGGCCCAAAGAUAUCAUUAAAAAUCUAGAGAUAGAUGUGGGUACCAGAGGGGGAGAAAACUGCAAGCUGUCUUCCUGAUUAGUAGCUGGGAUUAAAUCCAGAAUAGUUGAUUUUCCCCAUGGAGCUAUACGACUAUAUUGUGACAAGAAUGUUAUUUGAAUCUACUUUUUCAUGGUGGGGAGAAGCAUACUUCAACUGAAUUUCUGUGACAGUAAGGUCUCUGGCUAUGUUAAAAUAUAUUCUGGUGCACAGCAAAUACGACUUGAAGCAAAGGUCUGUAGAGAAUUAGUAUUCUAGAUAAAGGCUUGGGUUUUGCCUGACACAGCACCAGGAUGAAUGGGCUGUUGUUAGGUUGAAUUCUUUUCUUAUUACCAAGCAGGUCUCCCAGUAGCACUUGCAAAGAUAAGGAGAUCAGGUCUCCAAAUUCAGCGUGAAAGCUGAUCACUAAAUCAUGAUGGAAAUUUAUCUCUUGCUUUCAAGGUAUCAGGUAGUGGCUGUUACGACAGGCUACUGUGUCAGUUUGGAGACACAUAAAAUACCCUAUUUUCUUCACCCUUAAUACCAAGAUUGUUGCCUCCCCAUUAAUAUGCCCUUUUUAUCUUUUCUCUUUCAUUUGAUAUGUAAUGCUACACUUUGCUUUGCUUGGUACUUUGGUGUGUAGCCUACAUCCCAAGGAGAACACAAGUGACUGUGGGUCACAUUUGUUUGGUAGCAGGCCUGGCUGCAGAUCAUUAUUCCAGCUGUCCACAGAGGAUAUGUAGCUGGCUGGCAUAUAACCAUCUCUGCCUUGUAAAUCUGAGGUCUCCUUUAUCACAUUGCUUCACAGCAGAGAUAAGUGUGUCCUGCAAACACAUUUCUGUGCAUCUGAAUCUUUUUAUGGAUUUGCUUUGACUGCUUUCCUUCCUUUUUUUGUGUUUGCUUUCCACAGUUAUCCUGGGGAACACAUUUUCUGGAAGGAAUACUCACCAAGUGUGAAUUUAGCAUGAAAACACAUUUCAGACUCAUAAUAACAGCCACUUACAUCACAAAAUAAUUUCAGAAAGUUACACUCACCCACUUGGGAACAGAAACACAUCACAUCAUCAGAAUACCAACAUCGUCCAAAGAACUGGACACAAAUGAGACACAAAGCACAGAUUAUUCCAAUGAAGUAUUUAGCAAAUAAGUCUGAGCAAUAGGUCCAUACAUAAAUAUUGUGAUUUCUUCUCAGAUAAUCUACAAAGAUAAAUGAUUUAGCUAUGUGUCAGAUUAAUUAUUCAGCCAAAUACUUGGAAAAUAAGUGAGAUGCAAACAUUUGCUCUUAAAGAAGUCCUUUUAAUCAAUAAUCUUGUCAGCUUCUGACAUAGGAAAAAUGGAAAGAGAAUGAAGCAUAACAGUUUCUACCUGAGGAGCAUUGAUUAUAUGUCAGCAACAUCCUUGUUUUAAAUCUGGAGAAGAAGCCUUUGAAUGCUAGUAACUUUCUUAAACCUAGCUUUGAGUUUGUAAAAUCAUACAUAGCAUCAAGAUGCUACAUCUCAAAAGUUUUGCAGGGAUGCUCAAGGUCACAGUCAACGUGUUUCUCAGAGAGAUUCAAGAAAUUAGCAAAAUGGCAUCUCAUCUAGCUCCAUUUGUUUCCUCUGUUGGAUCACAAAAUGUAUUUCCCUCUUCUUACACCUUUCCUGAGUUACAUCACAGCACCCCAUUAAGGCAAAUAUGAAUACAUCUAAUGACUCUCUCUUUCAGAACCACAUUGAAAUGCUUCUCCAAGAGAAGCAGCCUGCAUCCCCCUUGAGCAAUGAAGUCUGCCAUCUGCAGUGCCAGUGCCUGGGUGGAGGGCCCCUCUGUGAAGUGGAGGCUGUUGGCAGACUCUUCCAGCUGGAAGGAUCAGCCUGAAGCCCAAAGAGCCCUGGCACCUGAAGCCUCUUUGAUUCCUAUGCUCAGUGCAAGUUAAUACACCUCAGCUCCCCUGCUUCAAACAGAGCCCCAGCAUGACCAGAUUCUCUGACCCAAAUGCCCUUGUACCAGGUGAGAACUGAUCCUUUAGCUGCUGCCUGGUUUGUGUGAGAGCUGAUCCUGCCAUUGGCCAGCUGGUUUGUGCCUGUUUGGAUUGAAGAGCUGUGCUGCCUGGGUUUUCCUUCAUGAUAUGGAGCCAUGCAACCUUAUGUAUUAUGAGGUGCUUCACAAAAACAGCUUUUAAAAUAAUCAAAUAUCUGCAAAUGAAUUGGAAAUGCUUCUUUCCCCGAUCUCUGCAAGGACAUUACUCAGUCAAAUGCAUCCAGAAAAUUGAAGGACUGAGAAUUUUCAAUCAGGACUGGAGUGAUUAAUAGUCUUGGAGCACUCACGUGCUGACAUGCCCACUGAACAACACGGUGUGACAUCUCACAAUUCACAAUGAGAGGUGUGUCCAGCAGGGAUAGCAAUCCACAAAGAGGGGAGAGGUGGGAGAGGAAAGGUCAAAUAUCCAACAUUAAAUUCACAAGGUUAAUAAUGCCUUAGCAUCAUGCAUAUUCAUCUGACUCCUUCACUUAAGCUGAGCCAGCUGUCCCUGCUUCUGACAUUUUCCUACAACAGAGGCAAAAGAAAUUGGUUCCUUUUAAUCUAUGGCAGAAAAGGUUUAUGGUAAGAGAUGCAUACUGUAUACAUGCUGUGUAGAUGGGCAGUUGCCUCUGCUCAGCUGAUGCCCUGAUUUAUCAAGGCAUGUGGAAACAGCAGGACACAUGCCAUGAAGAAGCAAGGUGAGAGCUGCAUUGGAAAAUGGAGCGACACCUGUGUGCAAGUGCUGCUGCAGACAUGCAGCUCUGGAAAUUGCAUGUCCAGCCUGUGUGUCUUUGGCCAUAAUAACAACUCAGAUUUUGGCUAAGGCUCAAGGCAGGGGCAGCUGGCACAUGGGGGCUUGCACAGAUCCUUUUCCUAAGAUCCCAGAGGUGGGCACAUGCAUGAGGUGCCAUCCUUGGCCUCAGCACGGGCACUUCUCACCAAGCACCUUGGCCAUGAGUUCUCAUCUGGAUGAAAACUAGAUGAGUACAGGAUGAGUGUCCUUCCCACACCAGUCUUAUCUGGAUCUGAAAAUGCAAUCCCCUUCUCUUGGAGCCAGUAAUUAUUUCCAUGGGAUUAAUUUUACAAAGACACCUAUCCAAUACUUGUGGUCUCCUGGCAUAAUGAAUCAUGAAAUUAAAUUCAGUCUGUGUAGUGUUCAGAUCAGUUGCACAGGAAUAAUACUGGUUGACUGGCACUUAUCCUGCUCAUUAUUGAGAGAGCUUUUGCCAUACAGCCUAUUUUAGAAACUGCAGUGGGCUUCAGAAACUACCAGUAUGGGACUUCCAGGAGCCCACACAGAGGAUAUUCCACCCAUAUCCUCUGCUUUCCCAACUGGAGUCUGAUCAAUUUGCCCAUGGAGCAAAGCGAAUUUCCCACUUGAGACCUCAAGGGUUGGAAAUAAAACUCCAGACUUGUCCUGGAGAGCACCGGGCAGAUAUUAUUUGCUUCUGAAUGUUUACUCUAGCUGCCAUGGACACACCUUGAGCCCUACAACACUCUACAGGUCACUGUGGGUGUCAGCAGAAGACAGAAUGUCCCACAGUGCCCACCAGGCUGGGUGCAGCCUCUGAGGCCUAUCUGCCACUUGAGACUAAACAGAUCCUGUGGUGGAGACAGAAGCUUGCUCUUGUUUGGGGCCACAAAACCAAAAUAAAUUGUUUCCACAAAGC